AGUGAACGCUGGCGGUAGGCCUAACACAUGCAAGUCGAACGGCAGCACAGUAAGAGCUUGCUCUUACGGGUGGCGAGUGGCGGACGGGUGAGGAAUACAUCGGAAUCUACUUUUUCGUGGGGGAUAACGUAGGGAAACUUACGCUAAUACCGCAUACGACCUACGGGUGAAAGCAGGGGAUCUUCGGACCUUGCGCGAUUGAAUGAGCCGAUGUCGGAUUAGCUAGUUGGCGGGGUAAAGGCCCACCAAGGCGACGAUCCGUAGCUGGUCUGAGGGGAUGAUCAGCCACACUGGAACUGAGACACGGUCCAGACUCCUACGGGAGGCAGUAGUGGGGAAUAUUGGACAAUGGGCGCAGGCCUGAUCCAGCCAUACCGCGUGGGUGAAGAAGGCCUUCGGGUUGUAAAGCCCUUUUGUUGGGAAAGAAAAGCAGCAGGUUAAUACCCCGCUGUUCUGACGGUACCCAAAGAAUAAGCACCGGCUAACUUCGUG
rnacentral:rRNA from 1 species